AAGCCAUGGUGUGAGCACUUUCUUAAAAGGUCUUUGAACCUCUCCCGAGCUUCAUAAAGAGACUCUUGAUCUUGCUGUAAAAAAGUUAGUUAUAUCAUUCCUCAUCUU
rfam:Vitis vinifera, whole genome shotgun sequence of line PN40024, unoriented chromosome 15, chr15